rnacentral:rRNA from 1 species
CCUACGGGUGGCAGCAGUGGGGAAUAUUGCACAAUGGGGGAAACCCUGAUGCAGCGAUGCCGCGUGGAGGAAGAAGGUUUUCGGAUUGUAAACUCCUUUUAUCAGAGACGAUAAUGACGGUACCUGUAUUAAAAGCUCCGGCUAACUACGUGCCAGCAGCCGCGGUAAUACGUAGGGAGCGAGCGUUGUCCGGAAUUACUGGGUGUAAAGGGGGCGUAGGCGGGAUGGCAAGUCAGAUGUGAAAACUGAGGGCUCAACUUUCAGACUGCAUUUUAAACUGUUGUUCUUGAGUGAAGUUGAGGUAAGCGGAAUGCCUGGUGUAGCGGUGAAAUGCGUAGAGAUUAGACAGAACAUCGGUGGCGAAGGCGGCUUACUGGGCUUUUACUGACGCUGAGGCUCGAAAGCGUGGGGAGCAAACAGGAUUAGAUACCCCUGUAGUC